AUUGAACGCUGGCGGCAUGCCUUACACAUGCAAGUCGAACGGUAACGCGGGGCAACCUGGCGACGAGUGGCGAACGGGUGAGUAAUGUAUCGGAACGUGCCCAGUUGUGGGGGGAUAACUGCUCGAAAGAGCAGCUAAUACCGCAUACGACCUGAGGGUGAAAGCGGGGGAUCGCAAGACCUCGCGCAAUUGGAGCGGCCGAUAUCAGAUUAGGUAGUUGGUGGGGUAAAGGCUCACCAAGCCAACGAUCUGUAGCUGGUCUGAGAGGACGACCAGCCACACUGGGACUGAGACACGGCACAGACUCCUACGGGAGGCAGCAGUGGGGAAUUUUGGACAAUGGACGCAAGUCUGAUCCAGCCAUGCCGCGUGCGGGAAGGAGGCCUUCGGGUUGUAAACCGCUUUUGUCAGGGAAGAAACGCUCUGGGUUAAUACCUCGGGGUAAUGACGGUACCUGAAGAAUAAGAGGUUGCUAACUCUGUGCCAGCCGCCGCCGUAAAAC
rnacentral:rRNA from 1 species